rnacentral:rRNA from 1 species
UGGGGAAUUUUGGACAAUGGGCGAAAGCCUGAUCCAGCCAUGCCGCGUGUGUGAAGAAGGUCUUCGGAUUGUAAAGCACUUUAAGUUGGGAGGAAGGGCCAUUACCUAAUACGUGAUGGUUUUGACGUUACCGACAGAAUAAGCACCGGCUAACUCUGUGCCAGCAGCCGCGGUAAUACAGAGGGUGCAAGCGUUAAUCGGAAUUACUGGGCGUAAAGCGCGCGUAGGUGGUUUGUUAAGUUGGAUGUGAAAUCCCCGGGCUCAACCUGGGAACUGCAUUCAAAACUGACUGACUAGAGUAUGGUAGAGGGUGGUGGAAUUUCCUGUGUAGCGGUGAAAUGCGUAGAUAUAGGAAGGAACACCAGUGGCGAAGGCGACCACCUGGAUCGGUACUGACGCUGAGGUGCGAAAGCGUGGGGAGCAAACAGGAUUAGAUACCCUUGUAGUCCCUGAGCGGGCUGGCAAGGCGCAU